CCGGCACGGGUGAGUAACACGUAUCCAACCUGCCGUCUACUCUUGGCCAGCCUUCUGAAAGGAAGAUUAAUCCAGGAUGGCAUCAUGAGUUCACAUGUCCGCAUGAUUAAAGGUAUUUUCCGGUAGACGAUGGGGAUGCGUUCCAUUAGAUAGUAGGCGGGGUAACGGCCCACCUAGUCAACGAUGGAUGGGGGUUCUGAGAGGAAAGUCCCCCACAUUGGAACUGAGACACGGUCCAA
rnacentral:rRNA from 1 species